CCGCCGCCGUAACACAUGCAAGUCGAGCGAGGGAAACUCUUCGGAGUGGAACUAGCGGCGGACGGGUGAGUAACACGUGGGCAACCUGCCUCGUAGAGGGGAAUAGCCUUUCGAAAGGAAGAUUAAUACCCCAUAAGAUUGUAGUUCCGCAUGGAAUAGCAAUUAAAGGAGUAAUCCGCUACGAGAUGGGCCCGCGUCGCAUUAGCUAGUUGGUAAGGUAAUGGCUUACCAAGGCGACGAUGCGUAGCCGACCUGAGAGGGUGAUCGGCCACAUUGGGACUGAGACACGGCCCAGACUCCUACGGGAGGCAGCAGUGGGGAAUAUUGCACAAUGGGGGAAACCCUGAUGCAGCAACGCCGCGUGAGUGAUGACGGUCUUCGGAUUGUAAAGCUCUGUCUUCAGGGACGAUAAUGACGGUACCUGAGGAGGAAGCCACGGCUAACUACGUGCCAGCCGCCGCAGUAAGAC
rnacentral:rRNA from 1 species